UUGCUCUUAUGUUGUUAGCGGCGGACGGGUGAGUAACACGUGGGUAACCUGCCCAUAAGACUGGGAUACCUCCGGGAAACCGGGGCUAAUACCGGAUAAUAUUUUGAACCGCAUGGUUCGAAAUUGAAAGGCGGCUUCUGCUGUCACUUAUGGAUGGACCCGCGUCGCAUUUGCUAGUUGGUGAGGUAACGGCUCACCAAGGCAACUAUGCGUAGCCUACCUGAGAGGGUGAUCGGCCACACUGGGACUGAGACACGGCCCAGACUCCUACGGGAGGCAUCAGUAGGGAAUCUUCCUCAAUGGACGAAAGUCUGACGGAGCAACGCCGCGUGAGUGAUGAAGGCUUUCGGGUCGUAAAACUCUGUUGUUAGGGAAGAACAAGUGCUAGUUGAAUAAGCUGGCACCUUGACGGUACCUAACCAGAAAGCCACGGUUAACUACGUGCCAGCAGCCGCGGUAAUACUUAGGUGGCUUGCGUUAUCCGGAAUUAUUGGGCGUAAAGCGCGCGCAGGUGGUUUCUUAAGUCUGAUGUGAAAGCCCACGGCUCAACCGUGGAGGGUCAUUGGAAACUGGGAGACUUGAGUGCAAAAGAGGAAAGUGGAAUUUCAUGUGUAGYUGUGAAAUGCGUAGAGAUAUGGAGGAACACCAGUGGAGAAGGCGACUUUCUGGUCUGUAACUGACACUGAGGCCCGAAAGCGUGSGGAGUAAAA
rnacentral:rRNA from 1 species